GCUGCGCCUCGGGUGCAGUGAAAAUCCUUUUGUGGCAUUGCAAAUGCGCAAAAGAUUGAAACGGAAAGCCUGGCCGCAG
rnacentral:sRNA from 1 species